UGUAUUUUGUGCUCAUAUGUUCCUUAAUUUACCAAGACAGGAAACACAAACAUGACAAAGAAGUGAAGUCUCAGCAAGUUCACACAGACAGGUCCGUCAGAGAUCCAUCAAGUGGGCAGGAUGCUGAAGAACUGGUCAACUAUGCUGCCUUGCACUUCUCUUAUAAGAAACUGAAAAGAGGAAAGAAGAAGAGAGACCUGCCACAAGAGAGCAUAUACUCCGAUGUCAG